rnacentral:rRNA from 1 species
GGUUCGAUCAUGGCUCAGAUUGAACGCUGGCGGGUUUUUACACAUGCAAGUCGAACGGCAGCACGGACUUCGGUCUGGUGGCGAGUGGCGAACGGGUGAGUAAUGUAUCGGAACGUGCCUAGUAGCGGGGGAUAACUACGCGAAAGCGUAGCUAAUACUGCAUACGCCCUUCGGGGGAAAGCGGGGACCUUCGGGCCUCGCACUAUUAGAGCGGCCGAUAUCGGGAUUAGCUAGUUGGUGGGGUAACGGCUCACCAAGGCGACGACCUGCAGCUGGUUUGAGAGACGACCAGCCACACUGGGACUGGAGACACGGCCCAGACUCCUACGGGAGGCAGCAGUGGGGAAUUUUGACAAUGGGGGAAACCCUGAUCCAGCCAUCCUGGGCGUGUGCGAUGAAGGCCUUCGGGUUGUAAAGCACUUUUGGCAGGAAAGAAACGGCACGGAUAAUACCCCCGUGCAACUGACGGUACCUGCAGAAUAAGCACCGGCUAACUACGUGCCAGCAGCCGCGGUAAUACGUAGGGUGCAAGCGUUAAUCGGAAUUACUGGGCGCAAAGCGCAGGCGGUUCGGAAAGAAAGAUGUGGAAAUCCCAGAGCUUAACUUUGAACUGCAUUUUAACUACCGAGCUAGGAGUGUGUCAGAGGGAGGUGGAAUUUGGGCGUGUAGCAGUGAAAUGCGUAGAUAUGCGGAGGAACACCGAUGGCGAAGGCAGCCUCCUGGGAUAACACUGACGCUCAUGCACGAAAGCGUAAAGGAGCAAACAGGAUUAGAUACCCUGUAGUCCACGCCCUAAACGAUGUCAACUAGCUGUUGGGGCCUUGCCCAGCGGUAGCGCAGCUAACGCGUGAAGUUGACCGCCUGGGGAGUACGGUCGCAAGAUUAAAACCUUCAAAGGAAUUGACGGGACCCGCACAAGCGGUGGAUGAUGGAUUAAUUCGAUGCAACGCGAAAAACCUUACCUACCCUUGACAUGUCUGGAAUCCCGAAGAGAUUUGGGAGUGCUCGCAAGAGAACCGGUACCACAGGUGCUGCAUGGCUGUCGUCAGCUCGUGUCGAGAUGUUGCUGUCCCGCAGCAACGCAACCCUUGUCAUUAGUUGCUACGAAAGGGCACUCUAAUGAGACUGCCGGUGACAAACCGGAGGAAGGUGGGGAUGACGUCGAGUCCUCAUGGCCCUUAUGGGUAGGACUUCACACGUCAUACAAUGGUCGGGACAGAGGGUCGCCAACCCGCGAGGGGGAGCCAAUCCCAGAAACCCGAUCGUAGUCCGGAUCGCAGUCUGCAACUCGACUGCGUGAAGUCGGGAAUCGCUAGUAAUCGCGGAUCAGCAUGUCGCGGUGAAUACGUUCCCGGGUCUUGUACACACCGCCCGUCACACCAUGGGAGUGGGUUUUACCAGGAAGUAGUUAGCCUAACCGUAAGGAGGGCGAUUACCACGGUAGGAUUCAUGACUGGGGUGAAGUCGUAACAAGGUAGCUCUGUUACUGAACACCCCCAGGAGCACGUAACUGAACGGCAGCCACU